UAGUGUGGCCAAACUGAUCUACUGGAAAUUGUUUAAAUCCCCAAUUAAAACCCUAUCUUUCACCACCAGCAGCUUUCAAACUAUUUCUCCUAUUACAUCAACACCUCUACAGAGUAAAAACAAGGGAGAUUUGAAUUAAUCUAUUUUUGCGAAGUGAAAUGGCGUCAGAAGAUAGUAACAACGAUAUUCCCGAGGUCUGUGUUCUUCUACUUAACCCCAGAAGUUGAUGUUUUUUUUAAAGUAUUAUUUGGUGUAGGAUUAUUGGAGUAUUUUAGCUUAAUUUACACUGGAAAUUUUGAUUUUUGGGAAAAGUUCCAAUUUUUCUCCAAAUAACCGGAAAGUGGGAGUUUUUAUUGUUUGUUGAAGAAUUUAAGUUAACACAUUUUCAAUCUGCAUAUUAAUUUUGAAAUAUGAGCUGCAUUUGUGUAAAAAGUUUCGAUUCACAUAACAGUAUUGAUUUUUAUUUUGAUGUUAAGUGACUCAGAGGGGUUGAGUGCUUAAGACUCGUUGUAUUUUGACUAAUGUCCAUCUAAAGACUUGUUUUGUUAUCUACAAUAUGAGUUAAUUAAAAAAAGUACAUCUAAUUUGAGGCCUUAAUUUGCUUUCUUUCUGCUUUCUUUCUGCUUAUAGUCUUAUACCUUUUUCAGCAGAACAAAACCUAGAAAAGAGGAACUUUUAUGCAGAUAAUUGUAGUUUUCUAUGUUAAGAUAUACUGGGAAUAAUGCAGCAGAAUGUUUUAUCAAAUACUAGUUGCAUCCCCCAAAAAAUCGUUCACGCAUUUGAGUCUCAAAUCUUAAGGUGGCCAAACUUUUUGGGAUAAUAGAGUAUUUUAGUUGAAAGGCCGGUGAUGAUCUUUUCGAUAAUUUGCCUACAUUGUAUGAUUUUACAGUGAUAAAAAAAUAUCCAAAUCUGAGGCCUUUGCUACAGUGUGUAUGUUGAAUUUACCAUGUCUAUGCCAAACUUAGAGUUCAUUGCGAUACGAAGAUGAUCUUGUCUAAACCUACCUAUGUUCAAAUUUAAAAUAAAGUUAACAUGAGAAGUGUUAAAUGAUGCCUCUUGAACAAUAUCUCCUGUUUUCUUCUCUUUCCAUUCCCACCUGCCCUAAAGAAUGAAUUACAUAACCGUAAAAAACAAAAUCACAUAAGAAUUGGCUAAGGAUUUUGCAUGCAAUGAAUUUGUCAUUGCAAGGGUCACUAUACUGUUAGAAUUGUUGUAGCAGUUAGAGGUCAAAAUAGUUUGAUGUUUUGUCCAAGAGAAGAGGCCUGUGACGAUCUUUCAAAAUUUUGCCUACAUUGUUUGAUAAUACAAUGAUAAAGCUAUAUUUGUGUCUGAGGCCCUAUGAUCUGUCACUUGUCUUGGUUUCCCUCCUUUCUCUUCGCUAAUCCCUCAAACCUUCAUUAGCUAAACAAGACCUGAAAAAAGGAGGAUUUCGUAAGAUGUAAUUGUGUUAUAUAGGUUAUGACUGUGCUAUCCCUUUUAAAUGUUCAUAAAAAACAACUUGCAUCCCAGAAAACAUGUUCCCUUAUGUUUGUGAGUCUCAGAUAGUCAGAUGUCAAGGUGGACAAGCUUGGAAUAUUUUUCUUGUGUGGCCUGUGAUGACCAUAAUUUGUCUACAUUGUAUGAUUUUACAGUGAUGAAGGAAUAUAUAAGUCUGAGGCCUUGCUGUACGCUAUAUGAUUAUCUUUUUUCUCAAUCCUCCACCCCCCAAAUGAUCUUUCCUAAUAAGUAUGAGAAUAAUGAUGGAUAGAACACGUAGAAGUUGCGCAUAUGGUGAAAUGUUUCGGUUCUUGUUAAAUUUUACUUUUUUACUGUCCAAAAUUAUACGCCGACUCCCAUUUUUUUUAUGGCAAUCAGGCUACUUCUAAGUUAGUAUUAUACAAUGCUGUAUCCAGUUGCUGAGGAGGCCUGUGAUGACCUUUCCUAAUAUUAUGUCUACAUUGUUUGACUUCACUGUGAUAAGGAAUAUAGAGUCUGAGGCCUUCUUAUUAGAAUAGCUAAUGUAGUUGCAAUUUUCUUGAAGUGCAAGUGUCAACAUAUUAUAAGCCUGUAUCAGUUGAAAAAAUAAACAAGCCUGUAUCAGUGGAUAUAAGAUGCGGACAAAGAUAAUUGAUCAUUACUGGAUUUGUUUGGUUAAUUCUUGGUACAAAUUAUCUUCCUGCAAAAUGCCUUUAAUUUGUGGGUAAUAAAUUUGCGCUGAGUAUAAAUAAACAGGCUUACAAGAUUAAGUCAAAAGCUAAUGAUCAGUAACAUGUUUUUCUUUCGACGCAGUGUGGCUCUGCGUGGUUAUCCUGUGUAUAUUAAGAGUUGUUGCAGGUCUACUAGGUUUUACCACCUGCCAUUUUUGGCAACAACAGAAUGAUAAAUUGAUGAUUUAUUACCUAGAUAGCGGAUAAAUUAAGGGGUCGUUUGGUUAGGUCAUUUGAAAUGGAGUUAGAAUCCAUUCCAUCCAUUUUAUUUUUAUUGUUUGGUUGGGCAUUUUUGGAAUGGAGUGUCAUGUUAAGGGGGUUCUAUCUCCUUGCCAUAUCCCUGGAAUCCCAUACCCACCUAUUUCCUAAAGAUUCAAAAUCCAUUUUACCCAAGUUUCUUACCCUAAAUUACAAAAAAGAGAGAAGAGAUAAGAGGGUGAAGCCACCUGCCAUUACCGGCAACUACGAUUAGUCAACCGUCACUCCGACGACCAUCACCGAUGACAUACUCUCCGGUGGAUUGAUUCUCGUUGUGCGCCAAUUUUUAUUUUAUUUUUAAUUUUUUUCUUUAAUUCUUUUCAUCUGCAAUACUUCGUAUAUUUCUUUGCAGUAAUACCUUGUUGAAUGCUUUUGGAUUUUGGAUUUUGUAUUGGUCAUGAGUUGUUGUUUAAUUGAUAGUAGUAAUCAUUAGAAGAGUUGUCUCCGUGGUGAGUAUGACAACAUGUACUUGUAUCAGUUUCAAAUAGCUGGAUUGAACAUACUGUAGCUUUCUUUUCAAUUUGUUUAAAAUUACUCCUAUGCAAUACUUGUAUCCAUAUAAGUUAAAAGGUUAAUCAUAUUUUUUGGCA